rnacentral:snRNA from 9 species
AUCCUUACCUUGCGUAGGAAUUCCGCGAUUGUACAGGCGGUUCACCCAGGGUGAGGCUGCUCCAUUGCACUGCGGAGUGGUAGACCCUUGCGAUUAUUAUAAAUUUUUAUAUGUUUCACUUCUACCAUUUGUGGCUUGCCCAGUUGCCCACAC